UUCAGAGAGAGAAAGGAAGGAAGGAGUGAGGAGCCAGAGGGGUUUCUGGUGGAUUUCCAUGCCCCUCUUUACCCCUACAUUUUGUCGGGAAGGCAAUAACUGGUCAUCUUUUGCUGUAUGUUUUAAGCUUCACAAAUAAGGAACGAAAGUCUCCACUGCAUGUCAUGGCACUGACCAACGGAGCCGCUUGAAAGGCCCGACAUUGCUAAACCAUCAUGCUUGGUGGUCUACAAACAAGACAAUUGAUUCUACCCAUGGCACUGGCAAAGUUAUGCCUUAAGUAUAUUUUUUAUUAAUAAAAUAUAUGUGUUUGACUUUGAGUAAAACAUAUGCUAAUGAGAUGGCUAAAAAUAUUCCAGGUGUGCGAAAGAGAAUAUUUGCAGCUUCUCCUACCAUAUCAGAAAAGCUAAAGCUACUAGAUGGGAUGGCUCCAUUAAACAUUCUCACAACGAUGAGGAAAUAGAGCAGGAUAGUUAAGAAAUAACUGCUUUUAUUUUCAUGUAUGUCUCAGCUAAAUGCAAGGGAUUAGUGCUGCUUUCUGGAAAUACUUCAUUUUAAGUUGUUAAGAACGCUUGAAGAGGGAAUUCAAAAAUAAAAAUGAUGGCUUAGUUAUUUGUUCUUAUAAAAAUAAACAUACCUUUCUUUCUCUGAAAACAAGAUUCAUAUGGAAAUAAUGAACAGUAAACUCUUACAACAGCAAUAUAGGAUCUUAUAGCCCUGGAUUCUUCUUUUUCCCAUUUAUUGUUAAUCUAUAUAUGAGUAACACAGAAAUAAAACAUCAUUAUAGUCAGUCAGUCAACAUCAUCAUCCAUCCCCUACAAGAUCUGGAAAGAGGAACUGGAAAUUUUAAAAAAAUAGUUAAAGCACUGUUAAAACAACUGUGGAGGUGUCUUAUAAAAAAGACAAUAUAUUGGUCACGAAACAAGUGCCUGCUGAGAACUGAGAGUAUAAAAUUAUCCCUUUUCUAUCACCACAUGGCCAAGAGGGAAAUGGUAUCUUCCAGCAUUGAGAUCCCUCCAAACCAGCUAAACUACAACAAAAACAGUAUUGAUGCUAAAGGUAGGCUUGCAUCUCAAAAGCCUGGUUUGCUUUUAACAUCUUUUGUCUGAUGAAGAAGCCAAUGGCAGUUUGAAAGCUUGCAUGACAUAUUUUGUUCAUUUUUGUUGGUUAAUAACACAUUCCUCUUUUGUGGAUUUUGCAUUCUGCUUUAUUAUGCAGGUGAUUAUAAUUCUUCGGAAAUUCAUGGCCGUGCAAGCUCUUUCCUUGACUUUAUGCCCACACAGUCAACCACACAUCCAGCUUUUCAAUAUGAUAAGCUUUCACUAUGCAUUCUCUGUCUUGAGACUGUGUGGGAGAGAUUACAACUAUGAGUAGGCCUUCAGCUGAUUCAUAUUGCCAGAACUCAGCAAAUACUUUGAAGACAAAA